GUACAUUGUGCUCUGCAUUCUGAUUCGCUAAAAACUCACUCCCGCUUCUUGUAUCAAAACAUGCUACGAAUUGUGCUAUCAUUUUGUCGUCUCGUGCAGUUAUGUGUACGUACAUAAAACAGCUUGGCAAAUUUACAUUAAGUUGGCCAAAUUAUCUUGUAAUUUCGAACAUCUCCUAAACCCAUAAUGUCGACGAAACGCUCUGAAGAGCAGUGAAACGGCCUACACGUGAGUCACUGUAUUUGUAUACAUGUAAUAGUUGCUAAUUGUAAAAAAAAAAAAAAAAUCUAUUUCGCGGAUUUCACUUAUCGCGGGUCAUUUUCGGAACGUAACCCCCGCGAUAAACGAGGGAUUACUGUAUUGUGAUUGGCAGAUUUCCUGGCUUUGGGACUACACGUGCACCGUCAAUAUAAAGGCAAUCAUAUCUAUCUACGGGGAAGGAUGGCCAGCCACACAGGAAGGGGAUUUUUACUAAGGAGGAGAAAGAGGCCGUGUUGACCGAGAUGCAUGCUGGUCAUUUCGGAGUGAAGCGCAUGAUUGCCAAAAUCAACCUACGCUUCUUCUGACAGUGAAUUGUCAAGGAAGUGGACAGCUGGGUCAGUACCCUGUCUAGCCUGACAGAAGUAUGAGAGGAAGACUGUGGCUGAGUUGAAGCCCAUCAAAGUUGUUUCACCAUGGCACAUGAUCGAUAUGCAUCCCAGUUCAAAUGUUGCUCUGAUAAGUAAUUUUGUAAUGGUUGCUUUAUUUGACCACAGCAGAAUUCAAUAUUAUAUAUAUACAGUUGAAGUCUGAAGUUUACAUACACCUUAGCCAAAUACAUUUAAACUCAGUUUUUCACAAUUCCUGACAUUUAAUCAGAGAAAAAAAUCCCUGUCUUAGAUCAGUUAGGAUCACCACUUUAUUUUAAGAAUGUGAAAUGUCAGAAUAAUAGUAGAGAGAAUUGGGUCAAACGUUUCGGCUAGCCAUCCACAAGCUUCGCACAAUAAGUUGGGUGAAUUUUGUCCCAUUCCUCCUGACAGAGCUGGUGUAACUGAAUCAGGUUUGUAGUCCUCCUUGCUUGCACACACUUUUUCAGUUCUGCCAACAAAUUUUCUGUAGGAUUGAGAUCAGGGAUUUGUGAUGGCUACUCCAAGCUUGACUUUGUUGUCCUUAAGCCAUUUUGCCACAACUUUGGAAGUAUGCUUGGGGUCAUUGUCCAUUUGGAAGACCCAUUUGCGACCAAGCUUUAACUUCCUGACUGAUGUCUUGAGAUGUUGCUUCAAUAUAUCCACAUAAUUUUCCAUCCUCAUGAUGCCAUCUAUUUUGUGACGUGCACCAGUCCCUCCUGCAGC